AGAAUCAACGCUGGCGGCGUGCCUAACACAUGCAAGUCGAACGAGAAAGGGUAGCAAUACCUGAGUAAAGUGGCGCACGGGUGAGUAACACGUGACUAACCUACCUUUUAGUGGGGGAUAACCUAGGGAAACCUGGGCUAAUACCGCAUAAUACCUACGGGUCAAAGCAGCAAUGCGCUGGAAGAGGGGGUCGCGGCCGAUUAGCUAGUUGGCGGGGUAAUGGCCCACCAAGGCAGUGAUCGGUAUCCGGCCUGAGAGGGCGCACGGACACACUGGAACUGAAACACGGUCCAGACUCCUACGGGAGGCAGCAGUGGGAAUUUUGCGCAAUGGGGGAAACCCUGACGCAGCAACGCCGCGUGGAGGAUGAAGUAUCUCGGUACGUAAACUCCUUUCGAUGGGGAAGAUAAUGACGGUACCCAUAGAAGAAGCCCCGGCUAACUUCGCGCCAGCAGCCGC
rnacentral:rRNA from 1 species